GGACCCGCACAAGCGGUGGAUGAUGUGGUUUAAUUCGAUGCAACGCGAAAAACCUUACCUACCCUUGACAUGCCAGGAAUCCUGCAGAGAUGUGGGAGUGCUCGAAAGAGAACCUGGACACAGGUGCUGCAUGGCCGUCGUCAGCUCGUGUCGUGAGAUGUUGGGUUAAGUCCCGCAACGAGCGCAACCCUUGUCAUUAGUUGCUACGAAAGGGCACUCUAAUGAGACUGCCGGUGACAAACCGGAGGAAGGUGGGGAUGACGUCAGGUCCUCAUGGCCCUUAUGGGUAGGGCUACACACGUCAUACAAUGGCCGGUACAGAGGGCUGCCAACCCGCGAGGGGGAGCUAAUCCCAGAAAACCGGUCGUAGUCCGGAUCGCAGUCUGCAACUCGACUGCGUGAAGUCGGAAUCGCUAGUAAUCGCGGAUCAGCUUGCCGCGGUGAAUACGUUCCCGGGUCUU
rnacentral:rRNA from 1 species